AUCGUUCAAUCUGCUUAGGCAGAUCGGAAGUAGGUGAAAGCCGAAGGAACGCGGA
ncrna:unclassified sequences Glutamine riboswitch